CCCAACCCUCAGCGAGACCCUCUCCCACCCCUUUCUCUCCGGCCUCCCCGGCGUCCCCAGGGAGGCUGGCGUCCGUCUGUCCUGACUUCUGGAGUCUGUCCUGAGGAGACGGCGGCAGGGGGCUCUUGACGCUGAGAUCAGCCCUGCCUGCAGCGACUUUCUGAUUGCUCCCGCUUGCCCCUGGGGCGCUGGACCCUUCUUGGCCGUGGCUGAGGCCUGAGGUCUCUGCUCAGCGCUGGGGGGCCGGGCCUGAGUGGGCCAGCACUGGGCAGUGGCUGAGCCUGAGCCAGGAGCCGGGGCCUCGCUCAGCGACGGCUGCUGGGGCUGGGCGGGCCUGGCCAUGCCGUGAGUUACGGCGGAUGCCGGACUCGGCUGUGAGGCAGAGAACUGAAGGGCAGCAGCCUCUGAGGAGUGGGGCUGGUGAGACGCCCCCCCCCCAGGUCUCCAGGGAGCUCCUCGGGGCUUUGCCCUGCGCCCCGCCCCCAGCCGGGCCGGUCACGAGCCAGACGGAACCGAGAGCCCCGAGAACCUGCUGCUUUGCCGCGAUGCCCGGGCGGGGCCUGAGGCCCCUUACCCGCAGGGCGGGGGCGCUGCGGUGGGCCCCGCCGGUGCAGUGAGGGGCCAGGCCUGAGGGACCGGUCCCGGGUGGGCACCGCAUCCCCGUUCCCGGGCACCGCGGGUCUGGGCAGUCCUGGCGCAGGUGGGCCCAUCUCUGCGCAUCCACUAGCUCUGCUGGGUCAGGCCUGAGCAAGCGCGGUCCCUCCACGGCUGCAGCUGGGGCGCCCGGGCAGGGGCAGGCCGGGAGCAGGUGCCAAGGCCUCCCUCCCUGCCCACAGGGGCGACGCCCGGGGAAGAAGGCUCACCCGGCCAGCGUGGGCGCCACUCCGGGCCCCUGGCCAGUACAGCCCGGUGCCAGGUGGGCACUGCUCAGCGCACCUGGGGCUGGCACCCUCGCCCACGGUUUUCUCAGCGCUUCUCCCACGGGCACGAGAGCCUCCCUCCAUCGCCCUGUGUGGGCCCUCGCAGCUCCUCUGUCUCGCGGGUCAGCGGAACUCUGGAAGGUUUCAGAGCAUCUGAGGAAAAGCCGCCUUUCAGAAACUUCGUGUCCGCUCCCAAACGCACGCCCACUUCAGUCACCCGUGAUGACCGUCCAUCAGCCCAGCUACAGGGGAGUCGCUGAGCAGGCCGCAGAGGCAUCCUGCAGCCCUGCCCCAAGCUGAGAGAGCGCCACGGCUGGGGCAGGAGCCGAGAAUCCGUACGGACCCUGUCCAGAGAAUCCGCACGGACCGGCCCUGUCCAGAGAAUCCGCUUGCAGGAGCCGCCUCCCAGCCAGGCUCGGCACAGUGAACUCUGCACCCGCAAGCUGUGCUCCCGCAUGGGGCCGGUGCCAGCAGGAGCCGCCGUGCCAGCCGUUCUCGCAGUCGCCGCCCCCGCCAGCUUGUUCUUUCCUCUCCGGAGCCGAGCGACUCGGGGACUGUCGGGGGCCACUGGCUCUGCUCACAGCCCCCAGCCCCGGCGGGCUCUGGGCCGGGGCCACAGGGGCCCCACCUGCCAGGUGCACGGGCACCCUGCCCCUUGGCCUCUCGGGCCAGCCCACACAGGGGGGGGGCUGCCGUCCUGCAGCAACAGUGCCCGCCCCCGGGGGGCCGCCCACCCGUCCUCCCGCAGCUCACCUCCCUGACGCUUCUCUCAACCCAGUGCUCAGGGCCCGCUUCUCCGGCCCAAGUUCCCAGGUGACCGGCCUGGCCAGUUCCUGCUGCCCCACCUGUCCUCUCUGCUCUCUGUCUGGUGUGCAAGGUGGGUGGCGCCAAUGUGGACCCCACCUCUCACCUCCACCCCCACUGAGACUGCACGAGGUCGCUCAUGGCUGUCUCAGCUCUGGGCGUCCGCGAGAGCCGGGAGAGGCACCACUGGGAGCCCAAAGCUGCCCCCCGCCGCAGUGCAGGGGACUCGGGCCGGCCGGGACCAGGGGCCUGGGGCACAUGUGCGAGGAUGAGGACUCAGAAUGCAGCCCCUGGUUUGAUCAGCUUUGAAGAAGGAACGUGCGACGCCUGCCACUUUCUUGUCCCUGUGGAUGCACCUGCGACAGGCAGCUGCUUGCGCCCACGUUCUCAGGGACGCUCCUGCUUCCUGCCCAGAGCACCGUUGCCUUCAGGACGCGGGGCAGUGUAGACAUCAUGUAGGAUGCCUGGUCACACAAGAUUCCCAGUAAAGAGGCAUUUCCAUCAGCGAGGAGCACCUAAGGGAGAGAACUUCAUGUGAUUGGAGUGUCCAGCACUUCGAUCACUCACAGAAUUUGGCUAAAUUCCAGCCCCAGCUGGACCCUGACUGUGUCUGUCAUUGUUGACCCCGCCCAGCACAUCAGGCCUCCCCCCACACACUGUCCUCUGGCUGCAGGCCUCGCAGGCGGACGUCUGGGGGCCUCCGUUCCUCCACUCACACUUGUACGGAGGCUCGAGCAUCAGCCCUCCGUGCUCCUGCCCGAGUGAUGUUCCGACCUGCCCUGGAGACUCGGUUCCGACGAGCCUCCCCCGCCCGCCCGUGAGCCGGCCCGCUCUGGGCCUGCCUGCCUGCCUGACCCGUGCCGAGGUUCCGGCUUGCUGCCCCUGAUGAGAUUCUGCCCCCCUGCUUCUGCCUGGCCACGUGCUGUCC